rnacentral:rRNA from 1 species
UACGUAGGGUGCAAGCGUUAAUCGGAAUUACUGGGCGUAAAGCGUGCGCAGGCGGUUGUGCAAGACCGAUGUGAAAGCCCUGGGCUCAACCUGGGAACUGCAUUGGUGACUGCACGGCUAGAGUGUGUCAGAGGGGGGUAGAAUUCCACGUGUAGCAGUGAAAUGCGUAGAGAUGUGGAGGAAUACCGAUGGCGAAGGCAGCCCCCUGGGAUGACACUGACGCUCAUGCACGAAAGCGUGGGGAGCAAACAGGAUUAGAAACCCGCGUAGUCC